GCCUCGGUGGUGUAGUGUGAGCACGCGUCCUCGGUAUGGACGAAACGCGGGUUCAACUCCCGUCUGAGGUC